rnacentral:misc_RNA from 1 species
GAUGAAGAACGCAGUGAAAUGCGAUAAGUAAUGUGAAUUGCAGAAUUCAGUGAAUCAUCGAAUCUUUGAACGCACAUUGCGCCCCCUGGUAUUCCGGGGGGCAUGCCUGUCCGAGCGUCAUUACAACCCUCAAGCUCAGCUUGGUGUUGGGCCCCGCCGCCCCGGCGGGCCCUAAAGUCAGUGGCGGUGCCGUCCGGCUCCGAGCGUAGUAAUUCUUCUCGCUCUGGAGGUCCGGUCGUGUGCUCGCCAGCAACCCCCAAUUUUUUUCAGGUUGACCUCGGAUCAGGUAGGGAUACCCGCUGAACUUAAGAAUAUCAAUAAGCGGAGGA